rnacentral:rRNA from 1 species
GAAAGUAGAAAAGGGCGCAUGGUGGAUGCCUAGGCUCCCGGAGGCGAUGAAGGACGUGACAAGCUGCGAAAAUCCGCGGGGAGGCGCAAGUGGCCUUUGAUCCGCGGGUGUCCGAAUGGGACAACCCGUCACCUUGAAGGGGUGACAUCCGCCAGUGGCGGAGGCCAACGCGGGGAACUGAAACAUCUUAGUACCCGCAGGAAAAGAAAAUAACAAUGAUUCCCCCAGUAGUGGCGAGCGACCGGGGAGCAGCCCAAACCGUCCGUGUUACGGCACGGGCGGGGUUGUAGGACCGCGCCGUUGGCCCAUGCCCGCGAGUGGAACCCUCUGGAAAGUGGGGCCGUAGGGCAUGACAGCUGCGUACACGCAGCGGGUAUGGGUCAUAGCGGUAUCCUGAGUAGCGCGGGACACGAGGAAUCCAGCGUGAAUCAGCCGGGACCAUCCGGCAAGGCUAAAUACUCCCGGGAGACCGAUAGUGUACCAGUACCGUGAGGGAAAGGUGAAAAGAACUCCGGACAGGAGAGUGAAAGAGCCCCUGAAACCAUGCGCCUACAAGCGGUCGGAGCACGCAAGUGUGACGGCGUGCCUUUUGCAUAAUGAACCUACGAGUUGCCGUGUCCGGCGAGGUUAAGCGGCAUGAUCCGCGCAGCCGGAGCGAAAGCGAGUCUGAACAGGGCGCGCAGUCGGAUGCGGCAGACGCGAAACCGAGUGAUCUACCCUUGUCCAGGAUGAAGUCCGGGUAACACCGGAUGGAGGUCCGCACCAAUAAGCGUUGAAAAGCUUCUGGAUGAGGUGAGGGUAGGAGUGAAAGGCCAAUCAAACUCGGAGAUAGCUCGUACUCCCCGAAAUGCAUUUAGGUGCAGCCUCGUCGUAUGAUCCGGCAUGAGGUAGAGCGACUGAUAGGAUGCGAGGGCUUCACCGCCUGUCAAGUCCUGACAAACUCCGAAUGCUUGCCGGAAUUAGGCGGGAGUGAGGGCGCGGGUGCUAAGGUCCGCGCCCGAGAGGAGAAGAAUCCUGACCGCCGUCUAAGGCCCCGAAAUGGCGCCUGAGUUAUUCUAACGAGGUCGGUUCCCCGAGACAGCUAGGAUGUUGGCUUGGAAGCAGCCAUUCAUUUAAAGAGUGCGUAACAGCUCACUAGUCGAGGUAGCCGGCAUGGAUAAUAAUCGGGUAUAAGGCGCCUGCCGAAGACGCGGGAUACGAACAGUAUCGGUAGGGGAGCAUUCCAUUUGGCGCGGAAGGUGGCCCGCGAGGUCCGCUGGAGCAUAUGGAAAAGCAAAUGUAGGUAUAAGUAACGAUAAAGGGGGCGUGAAACCCCCUCGCCGAAAGACCAAGGUUUCCUGAUCAACGCUAAUCGGAUCAGGGUAAGUCGGGCCCUAAGGCUCAGCCGCCAGGCGAGGCCGAUGGCAGAACCGGUUAAUAUUCCGGUACUGCCGCCCGGUGUGACGCGGUGACGCGGAUGUGACACUGCCGCCGGCUGACGGAACAGCCGGUUGAAGGGUGUAGGAGCAGACUGCCGCCGGCAAAUCCACGGCAGGAUCCGAACCUGAAAGUAUGCCGCGCCCUUUCAGGGCAAGGCAACAGCGCAGGUAAUCAUGCCGCCAAGAAAACCCGCUAAACAUCAGCCGGGUGGCACCCGUACCGUAAACGGACACACGUGGUCGGGUUGAAUAUACUAAGGCGCUUGGGUGAAUCACGGUUAAGGAACUAGGCAAACUGACCCUGUAACUUCGGGAUAAAGGGUCCCUCCUCGCAAGAGAGGGCGCAGCGAAUCGGUCCAGGCAACUGUUUACCAAAAACACAGGGCUGUGCCAAUACGAAAGUAGACGUAUACAGCCUGACACCUGCCCGGUGCCGGAAGGUUAAGAGGAGAUGUCACCGCAAGGGAAGCAUUGAAUUGAAGCCCCGGUAAACGGCGGCCGUAACUAUAACGGUCCUAAGGUAGCGAAAUUCCUUGUCGGGUAAGUUCCGACCUGCACGAAUGGUGUAAUGAUCUGGACGCUGUCUCAACCGUGAGCCCAGUGAAAUUGUAGUAUCGGUGAAGAUGCCGAUUACCCGCGAUGGGACGAAAAGACCCCGUGAACCUUUACUGCAUCUUAGCAUUGGAUCCGGGCACGCGAUGUGUAGGAUAGGCCGGAGGCUAUGAAUCCGGGACGCCAGUCCCGGUGGAGCCGUCGUUGAAAUACGGCCCUUCGUUUGUCUGGAUUCUAACCCGCAGUGCGGGGACAUUGCUUGGCGGGCAGUUUGACUGGGGUGGUCGCCUCCAAAAG